rnacentral:rRNA from 1 species
ACUGCUCAGUAACACGUGGAUAACAUGCCCUAAGGUGGGGGAUAAUCUCGGGAAACUGAAGGUAAUACCCCAUAGGUCUGAUAUGCUGGAAUGCUUUCAGGCCGAAAACUCCGGUGCCUUAGGAUUGGUCUGCGGUCUAUCAGGCUGUAGUGGGUGUAACGGACCCACUAGCCCGUGACGGAUAUGGGCCUUGAGAGAGGGAGCCCAGAGAUGGACUCUGAGACAUGAGUCCAGGCCCUACGGGGCGCAGCAGUCGCGAAAACUUCGCAAUGGGGGAAACCCCGACGAGGGAAUUCCAAGUGCUAGCACUUUGUGUUAGCUGUUCUUCUGUCUAAAAAACAGGAGAAGUAAGGGGCGGGUAAGACGGGUGCCAGCCGCCGCGGUAAUACCCGCGCCCCGAGUGGUGGUCGAUAUUAUUGAGCCUAAAACGUUCGUAGCCGGUCUUCUAAAUCCUUGGGUAAAUCGGGCAGCUUAACUGUCCGAAUUCCGGGGAGACUGCAAGACUUGGGAUCGGGAGAGGUCAGAGGUACUUCUGGGGUAGGGGUAAAAUCCUGUAAUCCUAGAAGGACCACCGGUGGCGAAGGCGUCUGACUAGAACGAAUUCGACGGUGAGGAACGAAGCCCUGGGGCGCAAACGGGAUUAGAUACCCCGGUAGUCCAGGGUGUAAACGCUGCGGGCUUGGUGUUGGGGGUCCUUAGUGGGCGCCCAGUGCCGGAGAGAAGUUGUUAAGCCUGCUGCUUGGGGAGUACGUCCGCAAGGAUGAAACUUAAAGGAAUUGGCGGGGGAGGAC